rnacentral:rRNA from 1 species
UGGGGAAUUUUGGACAAUGGGCGAAAGCCUGAUCCAGCCAUGCCGCGUGAGUGAAGAAGGCCUUCGGGUUGUAAAGCUCUUUUAGUCGGAAAGAAAGAGUUGCAAUGAAUAAUUGUGAUUUAUGACGGUACCGACAGAAAAAGCACCGGCUAACUACGUGCCAGCAGCCGCGGUAAUACGUAGGGUGCGAGCGUUAAUCGGAAUUACUGGGCGUAAAGGGUGCGCAGGCGGUCUUGCAAGUCAGAUGUGAAAGCCCCGGGCUUAACCUGGGAAUUGCGUUUGAAACUACAAGACUAGAGUGCAGCAGAGGGGAGUGGAAUUCCAUGUGUAGCAGUGAAAUGCGUAGAGAUGUGGAAGAACACCGAUGGCGAAGGCAGCUCCCUGGGGUGACACUGACGCUCAUGCACGAAAGCGUGGGGAACAAACA